rnacentral:siRNA from 1 species
AAGCUGAAAAAGCUGGUCAUUCGG